CCGGGAGCUCAGUGGUAAAGCUUCUGUAUGUGGUGAGCGAAAGCGCCUAGCAAAACUACGAGGAGGUUGCAGGUUCGAAUCCUGCCCUGAA
rnacentral:tRNA from 1 species